UACGUAGGGGGCUAGCGUUGUCCGGAAUCAUUGGGCGUAAAGCGCGCGUAGGCGGCCCGGUAAGUCCGCUGUAAAAGUCAAAGGCUCAACCUUUGAAUGUCAGUGGAUACUGCCGGGCUAGAGUCCGGAAGAGGCGAGUGGAACUCCUGGUGUAGCGGUGGAAUGCGCAGAUAUCAGGAAGAACACCGACGGCGAAGGCAGCUCGCUGGGACGGUACUGACGCUGAGGCGCGAAAGCGUGGGGAGCGAACAGGAUUAGAUACCCUGGUAGUCCACGCCGUAAACGAUGGGCACUAGGUGUGGGAGGUGUCGACUCCUCCCGUGCCGGCGCUAACGCAUUAAGUGCCCCGCCUGGGGAGUACGGCCGCAAGGCUAAA
rnacentral:rRNA from 1 species